AUGCUUUUGGUUUCCAUGUAUGCGUUUCAAAGGCACUAACUCACCAAGGGUCUUCUAAAUUUUGUAUGAACACCAGGUGAUGUGUAUUACAAAAGUUUUUCUUGAAUGUCACUGGGGAUUAUUCCCUACCUGAAUAUAUAUUAUAUAGCUCAAAAUGACUCAUUAUAUAUUUUACGGACGUUUAGGAAGAAACAACAAAAACAACAAAAUGCUCGAGCACCAAGGUGAAAAGUGACAAAACCACAAAUACACAAGUGGUAUAGUAGCUCUUUAACCAUGCCCCGUGGAGGUGAAUGACGCCAGAACAUAAUUUUCGUCAGCCAAGCAUAAGCUUGACCAGGCUUUCACCCGAGCCUUGUGUCGAUGAGGAGCUGCAUUGAAGAGGCCAAUCCACGAGAAGCAAUUGCUAGGGCUUUUCAGUGAUGACUCCAAGAAGAUCAUCUCGUUACUAGCCUAAACAUGAUCUGAGCUAAGCUUUUGCCUAGAACCUUUGCAAGUGUUGUUUUUAUCUGCCCGCGGUCGAAGAAAGGCGAGAGGUGGUGCCGGUCGCCGCAAUCGUCGCAGGCGAGUCUGGGAAUGGCUCCGUACGGUAUUGCAAAAGUAUUUUGGUUUCAUCCAAUAUUUCAAAGAUUCUUAUCCCAUAUAUAUAAAUGUCUAUAGCAGUAACACACAAGUUGAAUUCUUGUUUAUGAGCCUAUGCAUCUGUACUUA
rnacentral:lncRNA from 1 species